AAACUUAUGAGUGGAGGUUUAGAUGCCCAUAAAAAUGUUGAUAUGAUAGAAUCUAAACAUUUGUACCAAGUCUGGAGUGGUUUAACUGGGAUCAUAAAGAAGAUAUAGUUUAUUUUAGGAUGGAUCAUCAUUUCAAUUGCAAAGAUUCUUCCCAUGAGUGACAGAGGGAGAUGUCGGAGUCUGGGAUUUUUAGUGUGUUGUUUUCUGCCUGCUACUAACAUACAUUCACCAUUAGAUGCCACCAGAGCCUCUGGUUCUGUGAUGAACAGAUGCUGAGAUGAACAGGUGCUGCCUAUCUACAAUCAACUGGAGAAGUAUAAGAAGGCUGCGUGGUGACUUCCAAGUCCUGGCUCCAAGCUCCUGUGACUUACUAGUGCUGGCUUCAAGCUGCAGUCGGCCUUCUGCCAAAGUCAAGACAUCAAGCCUUCAAGAAUCGUUUUUGGGUCAAGUUCCAGUGGACAACCAAAGCUCUUCGACUCCUAAGAUCUGAGGCAAGCGUACCCUGCUCACCCUCCACCUCUUAGCUCUGCAGAACCCUCCAUCUAGUCUCAAGAAACUUCACCAGGUGAUCAUAGUUUCUGUGAACUGUUAUAUGAGAUUCCAACUUCCAAGUGCUAACCUGAACCUUCACCAGAGUGCUCACCUCCUACCUUGGAUUAAAUCCCUGAUUCAGCAGCAACAUCUAAUCUGUCCACCCAGGCUCCACAUCAUUCUCCCUCAGCCCACCACGUCCUCAUCUUCUGUAAGCAAGAACAUAAAUUCAUUCCCCAAUAAUUCUCCAUCAAACCUCAGAGUAACUUACCUGAUUUUCCCAGUUUGGUGUCUCCAGUCCCAGGUCCAGCUCCAUAUCUCAUUCCUGUAAAAAUGAACUUGUUAAACUUUUUCUCAUGGCCAAUCUGACCCAGCAGAGACACUUAGGGGGACUCUAGCUGAACACAUUCAUCAAAUUCAAUCACAUGGAUCAACACUUCACAACCUCCUGGAACAGCAAUGCCACUCAAAUAAGCAAGUGGAUCAGAUGGCUACUCUCUUACAACAUGCACUAAAAAUCCCAGACUCCAACAGGAGAGGUCUACGUUCCGUCCCUCACCUAUGGCCAUGAACUUUGGGUCAUGACCGAAGGAACGAGACACCAGAUACAAGCGGCUAAAAUGAGCCUCCUCCGUAGGGUGGCCGGGUAUUCCCUUCGAGAUAGGAUGAGGAGCUCGGAGCAGAGCCGCUGCUCCUCCACAUCGAGAGGAGUCAGUUGAUGACUUGGACAUCUGUUUUGGAUGCCUCCCAGAUGCCUCCCCACCCGGAGGUGUUCCAGGCAGGGGACGGCCCAGGACACGCUGGAGAGACUGUCUCUCGGCUGGCCUGGGAGCACCUUGGGCUCCCCCCGGAGGAGCUGGGGGAGGUGUCUGGGCAUCUCUGCUGAGUCUGUGCCCCAGCGACCCGGUCCCGGAUAAAGAGGAAGACAAUGAGUUUGAGUUUAUUUUAGGGAGGAACAUCGUUUUAAUUGCAGAGACUCUUCCCAUGAGUGACAAAAGGACAGUUCUCUAUUGUGUCAGGUCAUCUUCUAAUAAUUUAAAUAAUAGUGUGUAAUUUUAUUGUGUCAGGCCUUUUAGUGUAGUUUGAAAUGGUGGAAAACCUAUUUAUUGGGGUUUUGACCUUGGAAUAGAGGAGUUUGCCUUUUUAGCUGAUCAUCCGCAUAUGAACAAGUGUUAUGUUUUCUAAUAGAUGUUUGGAUUCCAUUAAGCUGCCAAUCUUCAAUAAAUACAGCUAAUAGAAAUG